rnacentral:misc_RNA from 1 species
CAAAAUGCGAUACGUAAUGCGAAUUGCAGAAUUCAGUGAAUCAUCAAAUCUUUGAACGCAAAUUGCACUCUCGGGAUAGGCCUGGGAGUACGCCUCUUUGAGUAUCGAUUCCAACACAACUCGCAAGCGUGCUUUUUGAAUCUUUUGAUUUGACGAGCUGCUUGCGGACAAUGAGCUUUCUCGUUGAAUUCAGCGAGAUGCUUGAAAUGCAGCGAGUGGCAUGAGUCCUAACUGGCAGCCGAUUUUGUCUCUGGUGACGAGGAUAACUUCACAUUCAUUUGUGAACCCUUCCAUCGUGACCAUUGAGAUAGAGGAAGCUGACGGGCAGAGCUCAAUAUGUCACAGAACUCUCAGAUCGUUUGCUGAACAGCGAAUGUGGUCAGAGAAACUUCUUGAACUAGAUCUCAAAUGAAGCGAGAAAACCCGCUGAACUUAAGC